rnacentral:rRNA from 1 species
GUGAGUAACACGUGAGCAACCUACCCCUGACUCUGGGAUAAGCGCUGGAAACGGCGUCUAAUACUGGAUACGAGUGGCGACCGCAUGGUCAGCUACUGGAAAGAUUUAUUGGUUGGGGAUGGGCUCGCGGCCUAUCAGCUUGUUGGUGAGGUAAUGGCUCACCAAGGCGUCGACGGGUAGCCGGCCUGAGAGGGUGACCGGCCACACUGGGACUGAGACACGGCCCAGACUCCUACGGGAGGCAGCAGUGGGGAAUAUUGCACAAUGGGCGCAAGCCUGAUGCAGCAACGCCGCGUGAGGGAUGACGGCCUUCGGGUUGUAAACCUCUUUUAGCAGGGAAGAAGCGAAAGUGACGGUACCUGCAGAAAAAGCGCCGGCUAACUACGUGCCAGCAGCCGCGGUAAUACGUAGGGCGCAAGCGUUAUCCGGAAUUAUUGGGCGUAAAGAGCUCGUAGGCGGUUUGUCGCGUCUGCUGUGAAAUCCGGAGGCUCAACCUCCGGCCUGCAGUGGGUACGGGCAGACUAGAGUGCGGUAGGGGAGAUUGGAAUUCCUGGUGUAGCGGUGGAAUGCGCAGAUAUCAGGAGGAACACCGAUGGCGAAGGCAGAUCUCUGGGCCGUAACUGACGCUGAGGAGCGAAAGGGUGGGGAGCAAACAGGCUUAGAUACCCUGGUAGUCCACCCCGUAAACGUUGGGAACUAGUUGUGGGGUCCAUUCCACGGAUUCCGUGACGCAGCUAACGCAUUAAGUUCCCCGCCUGGGGAGUACGGCCGCAAGGCUAAAACUCAAAGGAAUUGACGGG